CGGGUUUCAGGGGCUUGUUUGCUGCUGCCUAGAUUCUCUCUCUCCUUGGACUUGCUCCUCCAGGGCAACAGAGAUCUGGGCCGCUGUGAAAGGGAACUGCGCAGACUCGACAUAGGAGGUCUGGUUUUAAGGCUGCUUACUCCACAGCCACCAAGCUUUACCGAAGGGUAGCGUUUUGCCUAUUUGACUAUUUCACAGUAGAGAAACAGAUGGGACACAGCUGGUUGUGUUCAGCCACAUCAUGCUGACUCUCCCUUACGCCGCCCUGUAGGUGAUCUCUCUGGUUCACAUUUACUUGUAAAGAAGUGUCUUUAGCCCCUGCUGCCAUAGAGGAGGAAGAAUUGAGCAGGAGAGGGUCUCAUGAAUCCCAAACUGGCCUAGAACUGGCAAUGAAGUUAAGGACCUUGAACUUCUGGUCCUUUUCGCCCGUGCCUCUUUAGUUCUGGAAUUAGAAGUGCGCACCAUCACGCCUGCUUACACCAUGUUUGGGAUUGAAGCCAGGAUGUUGUAUGUGCUAGGAGAACCAAAAUGAAGACUGAGAACCCUGAGCUACAACAGGGAAAUGAAGCAGCCAGAAUCCGAGGAGAGGCAAGGAGAGGGAGAGGACUUGCUUCUUCUGUCAACAUCAACCGGAGACAGAGCUCAUUGUCAUAAAUAAGAAAAAGGACCGACCCCUCUUCCCUCAGAAUAAAAGCAGACAGAACAUCA